ACCAGACAAACCCCAGAGGUAAGUAAAAUAUAGAAAUAGAAACUUUAUUUAAAUUAUUUAAAACUAAAGUGGGGAAUGGGAAAGGGAAUCUAAAAAUCUCGCUUCUCGCCCUCAGGGGGAGUAUUACGGGGCCAUGGACGUUGGAGGGGUUUCCACGUGACUUCAGCUGGAACACCGCUACAGAGCGUAUCUGGGUGGGUUGGGCACACACCGUCGCGGCGGCCCCUGAUGGCAUCCACAAGGGUCCAAGACCCUCCUAAGCUCCUAGCCAUAGCAGAACUACGUAUUUCAGCACCCGAAGGACUAACAACCCAGCCGGCAUCUGCAGCGUAUAUCCAACGCGAUCAAACUUCACUCUGACACGUAACUUCCUAUACACAACCACGCCGUCCAUUCGCCCGGACCAGCCCCGCACUCUUUCCGCCCGCUACCAAGCGGUCGCCGGAUCAGCAGAGCCUGCGGACUCUUCGGAGGCUGGUCUUCGUUGUGCUGCCCAAGGCGGAAGUUGACUCGCCCGAAAAUCGACCCUUCCGGUAACUUCUACCUUCUCUCUUUAUAUCCUCCUCCCAGGCGUGGCUCGCCCAACCAUCGCUCGCCACGUCACUCACACAGCUGUGCCUUGUUUCAGCGAGUGCGGGGAUUCCCGGGGAACCCUGAAGUGCCGGUGUCUGUACAAACCGGUCCGGGCGGAACCUCUUCACUCUCCUUUUGGUUCCGCCCCGCAUAGUCCCUCCGUGACAACUGUUUGCGUUUUUUUUUCUCCUCAAUGUUCAAUACCCUUUUGCCAUUAAGCACACAGUGACUUUAAUUUAUAAAAUAUAUGCUUAAGUUUUAAUACCUGUACAAAACAAAUGUACAAUCAACUUGUGUAAAUUGUCAUUCUAUUUAAUAGAUUGUUCAUGAAUUGUCUUUAAAUGCAUUGUGAUUUCGGUAACACUUUACAAUAAAGUUCAUUAGUUAACAUUAGUUAAUGUAUUAACUAACUUGAACAAACCAUAAGCAAUACAUUUGUUACAGUAUUUAUUCAUCUUUGUUAAUGUUAGUUAAUAAAAAUUUAAGCUUUAAUUGCUUGUUCAUGUUAGUUCAGAGUGCAUUAACUAAUGUUAACAAGAUUUUAAUAAAGUAAUUGUUGAAAUUAACAUUAACAAAGAUUAAUAAAGGCUGUAUAAGUGCAGUUCAUUAUUAGUUCAUGUUAACUAAUGUAGCUAACUAAUGUUAACUAAUGAACCUUAUUGUAAAGUGUUACCGUGAUUUCUUUUCAUCAUUUCAGACACAUGUAAAAGUUACUAAAAAUUAAUACUGCAUAUACUGUACAGUAUCUAUGCGUAAGGGAAAUAACUUGAACAAAAUUUUUAAUGUAUAGUGUAAUUAAGAGUUUAGCUGUUUAAUACAGAGAUGCAAUUUAUUUAUAUAUAUUAUUUAUAUAUAAACGUAUGUAUGUUUAUUAAAAAGUGAAAAUGCUUAAUGGAAAUAAUUAAAUAACUAAAUGGUUGAAUGUAAUGAGACAUUUUAAAUGUAAACUAAAGUUUUGCUGUCUAAUACAGAAUAAAGAGAUGUGAUUUUAAGUAA